rnacentral:rRNA from 1 species
UACGAAGGGGGCUAGCGUUGCUCGGAUUUACUGGGCGUAAAGCGCACGUAGGCGGAUUGUUAAGUCGGGGGUGAAAUCCUGGAGCUCAACUCCAGAACUGCCUUCGAUACUGACGAUCUCGAGUCCGGGAGAGGUGAGUGGAACUCCGAGUGUAGAGGUGAAAUUCGUAGAUAUUCGGAAGAACACCAGUGGCGAAGGCGGCUCACUGGCCCGGUACUGACGCUGAGGUGCGAAAGCGUGGGGAGCAAACAGG